rfam:Cellulomonas sp. 73-145 SCNpilot_cont_500_bf_scaffold_33, whole genome shotgun sequence.
CAACGAAUGGGCAAACCCUCCGCAAGGGGGGGACGCAAAGCCACGGGACCCUCGGGGUCAGCCGGGCUACCGAAC